CCCUAAAUAGCUUAGUUGGGAGAGCCUUAGAUUACAAAUUGAGAAGUACCUGGUUCGAUCCCGGGUUUCGAGU
rnacentral:tRNA from 1 species